CACGCUGUAAACGUUGAUAACUUGCUGUUGGUACAUUAUAGAGAUGUGUCAGUGGCUAAGGGAAACCGAUAAGUUAUCCACCUGGGGAGUACGUUCGCAAGGAUGAAACUCAAAGGAAUUGACGGGGGCCCGCACAAGCGGUGGAGCAUGUGGUUUAAUUCGAUGGUACGCGAGGAACCUUACCUGGACUAGAAUGUGAAGGGAGUGAUCAGAGAUGGUUACGCCAGUGAUGGCCUGAAACAAGGUGC
rnacentral:rRNA from 1 species